rnacentral:rRNA from 1 species
AUUGAACGCUGGCGGCAGGCCUAACACAUGCAAGUCGAACGAGUGGCGGACGGGUGUGUAAUGUCUGGGAAACUGCCCGAUGAAUGGGGAUAACUACUGGAAACGGUAGCUAAUCCCGCAUACCAUCGGAUGUGCCCAGAUGGGAUUAGCUCGUAGGUGGGGUAACGGCUAACCUAGGCGACGAUCCCUAGCUGGUCUGAGAGGAUGACCAGCAACACUGGAACUGAGACACGGUCCAGACUCCUACGUGAGGCAGCAGUGGGGAAUAUUGCACAAUGGGCUCAAGCCUGAUGCAGCCAUGCCGAGUGUAUGAAGAAGGCCUUCGGGUUGUAAAGUACUUUCAGCGAGGAGGCGUUACUCGCAGAAGAAGCACCGGCUAACUCCGUGCCAGCAGCCGCGGUAAUUC